rnacentral:rRNA from 1 species
UACAGAGGUCUCAAGCGUUGUUCGGAUUCAUUGGGCGUAAAGGGUGCGUAGGCGGCGCGGUAAGUCAGAGGUGAAAUCCCGGGGCUCAACCCCGGAACUGCCUUUGAGACUGCAAGGCUCGAAUCCAGGAGAGGUGAGUGGAAUUCCGAGUGUAGAGGUGAAAUUCGUAGAUAUUCGGAAGAACACCAGUGGCGAAGGCGGCUCACUGGACUGGUAUUGACGCUGAGGUGCGAAAGCGUGGGGAGCAAACAGG